UGACAGGCAAGCAUAAACACCAUCAUUAGAAAGGCAAAGGAGAAAAGAGGGCAUCCACUGGGUGGAAUAAGACCAGAUCCUGUUUUGGUCAGCAGAAUUCUGACCAGAAAACAAGUGCUGCUGGUCUCCUACCUCCAUUUGAUAAGCUGGAGUGCAAUGGCAUAGUCAUGUCUCACUGCAAC